GUACGACUUGAUCUCCUUUUAGUGCUACAUUGUUUAAGAGUUCUCAAACUACGUGGGCAUGAUAUCACGGAGUUGCCUGAUUCGAUUAGCAACUUGAAGCAUCUACGGUACCUUGACUUGUGGUUCACUCCAAUCCAGAAAUUACCUGACACCGUAUGCAGUUUGUAUAAUUUACAAACGUUGUUGUUGUCAAAUUGUAUAUAUCUAGCUGAGUUGCCCACCGAUUUGAGAAGACUUAUCAACUUGCGCCAUCUUGAUUUCAGAGGUACAAAAUUAAAAAUGAUGCCCCCCCACAUGGGCAAGUUGAAAGAUCUCCAAACAUUUGAAGGUGAGUUUGUCUUGAGCAAAGAUGCCGGGGGAAACAUUGAUGAGUUAAAGGGGUUUCAGCAUUUGAGUGGAAAUCUUCAUGUGUCAGGGCUUCAAAAUAUCAAACGUGCUGAGGAUGCUUUGGAGGCCAAACUGAGGGACAAGAAGCUUAGUGACAUACGUUUGAAAUGGGAAGGUGACACUAUCGAUUCUGAAAACGAUAGCCGAGUGCUGGGCAACCUGCACCCCAAUACAAACCUAAAAGUACUGGUUAUAGAAGGAUACGGAGGUACAAAGUUUCCAGGUUGGUUAGGAGAUGAGUCUUUCUCUAACCUCGUCACUAUCCGACUUGAGACUUGUGGAUAUUGUUUCUCCUUGCCAGCAUUGGGGCAGUUACCCUCCCUCAAAAGGCUUGAAAUUUAUGGGUUAAAUGGAGUGGAAUCAGUGGGGUCUGAGUUUUAUGGGGGAAUUAAACCUGCAUUUAAAUCUCUAGAGUUUCUGAGUUUCUGCAGUAUGCGGGAAUGGCAAGAGUGGUGUUUCCCUGGAGGUGAAGAAGAAGAAGGCGGACAUUUUCCUAAUCUUUGCGAGCUUAGUCUGGAGAACUGUCCCAAACUAACGGGGAAAAUACCGUUAUACUACUUCCCAAGACUUGAGCGGCGUACGUUUGGAGGAAGUUAAUAUCGAAUCCCUUGCUUGUUCGCAAGAAUGCAAUAAAUUCAAUAUUGAACUCCCAUCCCUCCGUGAGUUGAAAAUAUCAGAUUGCCCGAAUCUGGUAUGUUUUGUGGGUGGUGGAGUGCUGCUUGCGCCCAACUUGGAGGAGAUAACUAUUUGCCAUUUUAAGAACUUGUGGUCAGUGCCCGAAGAUAUGCAAAUCUCGCUCCCAUCUCUUCCGUCUCUGUCCAUACAAGGGUGUAAAGAAUUUAAAUCAUUUCCGGAAGAAUCUAAAUUCCCAUCCCUCGUUGUUUUGAAGAUACAGGGAUGCCCAGAAUUUGUGGGUUUCCCCCAUGGAGGAGGACUGCAAGCGCCCAACUUGAAGGAGAUGGAAAUCAAAGAAUGUAACAAAUUCAGGUCACUGCCAGAGGAGAUGCAAAUCUCUCUCCCAUCUCUCGAGUCUCUGUGUAUAAGGGAUUGUCCAGAAUUGGAAUCAUUUUCGGAAGGGGGAUUGCCGUCUAAAUUGCGUUUUCUCAGUAUCUGGAGUUGUAAAGAACUGAUGGCAAACCGUAUGCGGUGGGGUCUACAAACACUCACCUCUCUCAAAUACUUGGAUGUCAGCUUCAGAGGAUGUGAAGAUGAAGAAAUUGGCGAAUCAUUUCCAGAAGAGGGGCUGCUGCCAACCACUCUCACUUCUCUCGGAAUCUACAAUCAUCCGAAUCUGAAAACCAUUGACGGCAAGGCGUUAAGACACCUCAUCUCUCUCGAGAAGUUGGAGAUUUAUUAUUGUCCUCAACUCCAGAGCUUGCCAGAUGAAGGGCUACCCACUUCUCUUUCUCGUCUAGAUAUCUUCCCAGUGUGAUUGCUAAAACAACGGUGCCAGAGAGACACGGAAGAAGAUUGGGCCAAGAUUUCUACAUUCCCAACAUAACGAUUUCUGGCCGAAAGAUAUGAUUUGCAAUGGUACGUAAUUCGUCAACGUGCGUUUAUGUGUUUAUUUACGAUCUGGCUGUGAAAAAUUUAAAUCAUAAACAUGUUUCAAAUGUUAAUAUUCUCGUAAUAACAAAUUUUACAGGUACUCCAGUCCCAUAUAAACAUGAAAGUAUUUGCGAUAGAAACAUACGGAGCUACAAAAAUUCCAGAUGACUCGUUCAUUCUCUCAUCUUGUUACUCUUCGACAUGUGGAUUGUGAAUAUUGUUUUUCAAUGCCAGCAUUGGCACAGCUACCAUCUCUCAGAAGGCUUGAAACUGAUGGGUUAAAUGGAGUGGAAUUGUUCCUCGUUUCUUACUGUGUCUUACGGUGGUUCUAUUAUACCACAGUUUGUUGAACGAACUAGUCUUCGGUGAAAAACGAGCUUCAACAAGUUUACGAGCCCUAGUUUCCGAAUUUCCUUUUUCAAGUUUGUUUGCCAAAUUAUGUCUAUUGAGAGGUAGAUUUUGGUACUUUGUGGAAUUCGAAUUCAAAUGUUUGGUUUGUAAAAUAUGGAUGAUGAUUUCGUUUCUGUGGAACUGUGAAUCUAUGAUCAUGCUUGAAUGUUGUAAGCCCAGAGUAUCGAAAACCCUCGGUUGUCUACUAAUCGAUCUCAAGCGGCCUAAAUUCGAUUUGUUUAAUUAGUAUUGCAAGAUGAUCUUAUCUACUAAUCAUGUCUUUAUCAAAUGAUUACCACUUCAUCAUGCCCUCAGGGAUGCACAGAGCUUCAAAAGUUUUCAAGUUGCUUCGCAUGUGUAGGUUUGAAGUCGUGCAAUGAUAUGUACGCGAAACUUAUGAGCAAACAAAAGUAAACAACUCCUAUGCAUAAAUGUUGGCUGCCAGAAAAUCUCAGUAGUACCAGAGAAGAUAAGCUUGUAAUAAAUUUCUAAUUCUCAAAACAGAGGAAACAAGAGAAAGAAGAUCUACAUAUAAGUGCCCCUAGUUGGCCGGCACACAUGAUUUCUUUUAUGAGCAUGUUCUUCAUUAUGGUGCUGUGUCCGACAUGCAUAUCCAUACCAGCAAUUUUCCCUGUUUGAUGCCUCUGUGGGUAGAUGAUAUUUGGGAAUCGAAAUCCGAAACCAGUACAAGAGCAAGGAGAUCAGCUUCUCAUAACAGUAAUUGCACGUAGGUGUCCCAGAAGUUAUUGCCUCAGCAUGAUUCUGGGGCAUCCUCGUUCGAUCAAUUUCUCUGUUGUUCAACUUUGCAAGCCAUUCUGCAAUAACAUCCUGCAAUGUUCUUCCCAACAGUGCAAUACAUUUCUCAGUGAUAACUUGUUCAUGUCGAUUGUUUUCAUGUGCGGAAGUAGGGAUUCUAGAGAUGGUCAGUUCUGAGAUUGGUUUAAAAGUCUCGCGAAUGCACACACAGCGAGAAUCACUUUGUGCAACCCCUGCGUGCCAAUAUGUACCACAAAAUGCCUGAUCACAUCCUAAACAGUGUUGAGGUACACUGUUAUUACUUCAUGAGGCGUCAUUCCUUCGCAUGCUUGACAUUGCAGAUGGAUAGUGCUUUGAUUGCAAACCCCACCAUAUUCAGUACCACAUUGAGGGCAUAGAUUUGACGCAGUACCAGCUUCAUCAUCCACCUGAGGGCGAGCCCUUAUUCCUUGAAGAUGUUUUCCAAAGUUUACAAUUCAGAUUAUAUCGUAUUGUCGCAUAAUAGUCUAAAAUUUCCACUUCGUCAUUGGGGCAAAAAAUCCGCUUUUAGUAUUUCCUCCGCAAUGUUGAGCAAGAAGUGAUCAUUUACUACAAUAUCUUCUCAUUGUGUUUUGUUCUAAUAGUUGUCCUAUUUGUUUCUUUUGUCUACCGUACUUUAAACUACCAUCACGAACAUACGAAAUUACUGUCUAUAGAGCUUUUCGGUUUUCUGGUAUCUGUUACAGCUUAAUACUAGAAAAAUUGCCCCCGCUCUGCUGUGGGGUUUCAAACUAUAAUUGACAACAGCCAUGAAUAAUAUUCAUAGAAAAAUUCACUCAAAAGGCAGCAGCAACACAAUCGCAUUCUCAAAUGCAGCAAUUUAGACAACGCACAUUUUACUUGAGUAAUUCCCACAAAAUCACAAAUUAACAGUCAUCUCCAAAUAAUUGAAAAAUCAAGAGAUAGGUGAAUCGAUACGGUAAAAUAAGCAGUUCAAUUUGAUUUUACAUUCUAUUAAGUUAACAUCAAGAGCCAAUAUAUUUAUGGUUAUGGUUUUCAAUCAGUGUUUUAUUGUCUUCUUUUUAAAUUAGUGGUUCUUUUCAAAUACAAAGUUUAGUCUUCUUAGCAAAGUCAUUAUUUUUUAUAGUGGUUGGUUGAAAUAAAGAGGUAGUAUGAAAUUGUGACCAUUAGACAAUAGUAUGGCUGUGAUCUAAUAGUAAAUGACCUUAAUUUCACACAUAAGUUUGGUUUCAAACUUACUACAUAAAAACAAUGUCAACUUGCAAGACACUAUAUGAACUGGCUGGAUAGCUAGUUGAAUAAGCUUGUUCCCCUGUUUUCCCUUUCUUUUGAGUAAUUUCCUCCUUCCCCUCCCUCCCCCCAAACCAUCUUCAUCCCAUUUUGCACUUUCCCAAAAGCCUUUUCUCUAUCCCCGUCUUCACUUUAUCACAUGCUUUUUUAUCCUAGCCAUAAUUAGACUAAUGGGAUUUAUACCUAGAGACUAAUGUGCUUUUUCACAUGCUUUUUUCUCUCAAAAUUUAUAGAAAUAUGAAAAUGAUCAUCACAAAUUUCAAAUCCUGCAAUAACCUAAAUUAAAACAAUUAUUCAAAUUCCUAAAUUAAAACAGCAUUUAGAAGCACUAUAAACUCAAAUCACAAACAUCAACAACAUGGUGAGAAUGAAGCUUUAUCUUAUAGAAAAUGAUAAAUCUUUCUCAACCAAUAUGCUAAAAAUGUCCACCACCAGUAUAUAAUAAAAAAACAGAAGGCUAACUUCAUCACAUAGCACCACCUUUAAACGCAUUUCUUUCAGAAAUUAAAUUAAGAAAAAAUUUGACAUUCACAUGCCACUCAUUAAGAAACUAAUACUAACUGAAGUUGUAUAUUGUAAAAUGCAACCGCUUUUAGAAUUCCUAAGUCAUAUCUGUUAGCAAGAAACCCAUACUAACUCAAGUUGUAUAGUGUAAUAACGCAACUGCAAAAAGACCAAGCUUCUGCUACUAAAAAGCUUUUACAAAAUCAUAAAACUCUUAACAGUUUGAACCCUACCGGAAAGUUUAUAUGAGUUGAAGAACAGUUGUACUUAAGUGCAGCAAGAUCAUAACCUCUUGCAGUUUCUCCUCCAUGUCAAAACCACCUGCAGUCCAAAUUAAGAAAGAUUCAAUGCCAGAUCAAGAACAAAAUAGUAAUAAUUUAAACUAAAAUCCUUAAUUAUUGUUGCAGAGAGAAUUCAUAUCAAGAUUAACUACAAUAUUUAAUUCGAACGGAAUCCAAAAGUAGCAUAAAUAUGAAAGGUAAAAAAUUAAUAGCAAAAGUCACAUUUCAGCAGCGAUUAAUAGCAGAAAUCAAAGUUCAGUGGCAGGGACCAAAUAAACCUCUGGAUUUCAGACUACUUAACAAAUUAGACAAACACAUAAUCCAAUUUCAUCUUUUUCCACUCAUUUUUUUCUUGCAACACUGUUGGGCACCAAACAUCACCAAAACCGAGCUCGCUGACACAUAAAUAAGCUACCGUACACUUUUUGAUGAGGUUGGCAGAGAGCUCAAUUUAGUGGCGCUCGUACCCUUUGAAUACGUCGCUCGUCUUUCCCUAAGUUUCUCUCUGCAUUCAACCCAUCACACAAUUUCAACAAUAAUUCAGUUUGAACGAUCUGAAAUCAAUGGAAUCGGAAGUAAAUACCUAUUUCGAUCGGAGAUUUGAAUGGAUCGCCGGAGACGAUGGCUGAAGAGCAGUGGCGGGUGUUUAUUUUUUGUUCUAGGUGGUGGUGGCGGCGGCUUGCUGUCGAAGCGAUUGAAACGGAUGGAAACAACAAUGUGCGCGAAAGGAAACCUCUCUCUCUACAUGUGACCCUUCCUUUCACCGCCAAAAUAAAGCAUCAAAACACCUUGGUUGCUCCUGUUAGAAGAGCCUUACUUGCUACUGUUCAGUGCCCCCACCCCUCCCUCUUUCUCUCUGCCUCUGCAACCCGCCUCUCUCUUUCUAUUUUUGCCUUACCGAAUGUCAGACCAUCCUCAGUCAAUCAUGUCAGUGGAAUCCUCACAAAAUCCCUCACUCAAUCGGGUCAGUGAUAACCUCCCUCAAUUUCCUCCCUCACCCUCGGCAACACCACCACUCUCCCAAACCUGAGAAUGACCAAAAUACCCACGCAAUUUCCAAUCCGAUGCGUCGGAUUUAGAAAGUAGAUAGGAUAAAAUAGGCAUUUGACGUUCAGGGCUUUAACCCAUUCAAUGGUCACCAUCGAAGCCCACUUCGGGCCCAAAACCAACAGCCCUAAAAGACCCAAAUUAUGGUCAGCGGUAGAGAUGUAAAUAUUCAGCCAAAUCUGAUGGCAUUAUUGUAAGUAACGUGAAAUAGAGGGGCAAAAACUUGACUGUAGCUACAGUCAAAUUCUUCCUCAGUUUUAGAAUAGAUAAUGUUGAGCCUAUGACAGCCAAAAUACAUAGCUUGUUUUCUGUUGAGACGCUUCUCUCAUAUCUGGCCAAUUAAUGAAGAGCAAACUACGACACCAUUAUUCAAAAUUUGACAAAGUGAAGUUUUCCUCUAGGAAUCUUCACCUUUCAAGCUAUAUAUUUUCUGGUUCUCAAUUCUUACAAUUUUCAUUGUUUUGUUGCUAACUUGUUUACUCACCGCUAUUCAAAAUUUGACUCUUUCUUUUGCGCUAAGUUGAUUUGCCCUGAAAUUUGCUAAGAUUGCUCAAACGUAUUUCUUUUACAAUUUUCUCUUGUGUUUGCUUUAAUCGCGUACUGACGUUGGUGAUUGAGAAAAUGACAUUGUUGAUGUCAAUGCUCAACUUUACUGUUUACUUUUUGUAUAGCUAAGUUUAUUGUAGCUCGAGAUACGUUCUUUAUAUGUGAGUAAGUCUUCCACCAAAUCAGAAACUAAAGCGUUUUAUAUACGUUGAAACGUGAUUGGAAGAUGCGUUGUCAUCCAUUCUUUUCGAUUUCCUGUGCUUGAGUUAUAUUAUUUCCUCCAUGAUUUGAAGUCGUUUCCGAAGUAUAUUUAUUGGGAUUUUGAGAUGCGCGUUCUGGUACUUUUUGGAAUAUGACUUGAAACUUUCAGAGCAAGCGCAAACCAGAGUUUACCGUUCUAAUUCCUCUUUUGAUUAUACAGUUAUAUUCUCAAUUGUCAUUACCUCGAGAUUACUUGGUAAUGACGUGAUUACACAGUUAUAUUCUCAACUUGCUAUUACCUCGAGAUUACUCGGUGGUAGUGACAUGAUUACACAUUUAUAUUCUCAGCUUGUCAUCAUCUCGAGAUUACUCGACAAUGACAUAAUUAGAUUUCAGCUUACACUAGUUACGGCUAGUGUAUGAUUUUGUAUGCAUGUAAGAUAGUGUCAGAGACCCAUUAAGUGUGGUCCUUCGGGGAUGCAAUAAAUGUGGUUACUUGCAGGUGUUUUAAUUUGGGCUUAUCCCUAUUUCGGUAGAUUUUAAUAGUUGAAAACUUGAGUUAUGACUUUAUGCAUAUUAUGGAUUCGUCACCAAUCCACGUGAUGGCCAGCUGAUAGGAUUUUUAGUAUUUGCAUAAAGAGGGUUAAAAAUCAUACAAAAUACUUGUAAGAGAACAAGGUAGUUGUAGUAAAAAUGCUCAUGUAAGGUCGUUCCCACAAGGAUUAUCUAAAACAAUUUAUGUAAAAAUAAAAUCUUAGUUAAUUAUUUGAAAACAAAGUUUGAAAAGAGUGGUUUUUCAAUCUAAAUAAUAAAAACGAAUUUAAUAAAAGUAAUUGAGGAAAAUCAACAAGAAAUUAAUUUUAAAGAAAUCAAAUUAAAAAGAAAUGGCCUUGAGAAAUAGAUUUGUAAAAGCAUUAGGGUUCCACUGUCAUCUUAACAACUCUUUGUAGAUUCACUAAUUACUUAUGAAUUACACAUGCAACUUUGAAUGUUAGGUUUUCCUAAUGCAUAUUUAACUUGUGGCAUUCAAGAUAGAACGUAUAUCAAACAUGCAAUCCGUCUAUAGCAUUCAUAUCAAAUAUAAACAUGCAUGACUCAUUAUGUUUUGUGAAAACCCUUUGAAAAAUCAUGCUACCUUUAAGACAUGGCAUUCGCCCUAAUUGACUUACAAUUAUUAAUCAUAAGAAGCAUUCCUCAAUUUCAAGGUGACAUUCCAACAUAAAUUGCGUCUGAUUGCUUAUCUAAACAUUCUAAUGGUAGCAAAGCAUUAAAACAUAGAGACUAUUUAAAUGCAGUGAUUAAUAAUUCAAAGCAUGCAUACAUAAUAUCAUAAGCAAUAAAAUAAAAACCACAUAUUCAUGCUAAGGCUAAUGGCCCCACCCUAGCAAAAGAAAGUUAAUUAUGCAUAUUCAACCAAAAGAGUUUUAUUGAAAUAGAAAAAGAGUGAAAACACCUUGUAGAAUAAAGUUUGAAAAUCUCUUAAACUUUGGCCAAAAUUCUCUCUCAUAUAUCACGUUGAAAAGAAGAACAUAGGGCCGGCCACAAUGGCUUAUUUAUACUACUUAGAAAAUCCAAUCCUUCCUAGAAAAUGACUUAAAAUAAAAUUAGGAGACCAAAUAAAUUGAAAUAAAUUAGAAAACAUAAUCCUAAAUUGACUAGGAUAAUCAGCUCAAAAUCUGCACAACGACGUUUUGGAUCCAAAUCUCCUCCAAAAGUGGCCCAAAAUAGCUGGAUUUAAAGUUUCAAAUAAUCUGAACACUUCUCCAGAAGGUCAUGAACCCAACAGAGGUCAUCUUAGGCUCAUAAAAUCGUAAUUAAGCCAAAAAAGUCACUUUUCAGCAUCACGCAUUGCUUUUUUAUUUCAUCGCUAGAAAAUAACCACUUGGUAGAAAAAAACCAAAAUUUUGACACGAACGAGCUAAAGGACUCACGAACGUCCUCCAAUUUGAAUCAAUUUAAAAUUCACCCGUUUGAUCACGUUUUGCUCCAAAGGAUGUCAAAUGUUUUAUAUUGAAAAUAUAAAGUUAAGUAUCAAAAUUAUACCAAAAUAAUUACCAAAACAUACUAAAAUAGGAUAAAAUAUAUAAUAUGACAGACCAAAAAGCUAUAUGGUAGGUGUGCCUGCUUUGUGACUAAAGUUCGCUCUGCUUUUGACCAAAGGCUCCUCCAUGCCUUGUGAGAUUUCCAAUCAGCUUCCAGCCGCCAUAAUACGGCACUAUUAGUAUUGUAUCAUUAUAUCUAUACGAAAACUUCAGUUGAUGGGACACGGUUUACCAACAGUGAUUUCACGAAAAUACCUUUGGUUUUUCUUCCCUUUCCUGCUUUGCUUUUUAAUCUUAAACAGCGGAUUUACAAAUUUCCCCUUACUAUUUGUUGGCUGGGGGUGCCACUACCUCUUAGAAGAUACCUGUUUGUUCCAUUUGCGUCCAGAAUCUCCCCAGUUCUCUCUAUCACAAACCACGAACCAAAAAAUCCUCUCUCUAAAAAGACCACGAACCCCAGCACAAUCUCUCUCAAAACCUGUUAACCACAACACAAUCCGGUCCCGAUUCGAAGAAAGCUUUAAGCCCAGAAAAAGUUCGGUUUCAUGGUGAGUUCUCCUACCAAUUUGGGGCUUCUUUUUGUUUUUUCUUUUUUUCUGGGUAGCAUGCAGUCUUUUCUGAGUUAAUGGUCGAGGCUUUGUUAUAAAAAAGAGUAGUGGUUGUGGGUCAGUUAGGUACUCAAGAUUCUUGAAUUCUAGAUGUGUUGAAUUUGGUUUUUUUUUUCACUAAUGGUUUUUUUUUCACUAAUGGCUUGCUUCAUAGAAUUAAUACAAAUACAAAAUGGAAAAAUGAUUUUAAUCCAUAAAUAAUAUUCAAAUACUUGAAAAGUUUGUUUUAAAUUGGGUUUGGUUUCAUUGGUUUUUCUGAUUUUGAAACUUUUGUUUUCAGGCUCCAAAGGCUUUUAGGGGCCUGUUUGGUAUGAUAUUAAAAAAAAAUCAUUAUUUCUCAAAACAGUUUUUUAAGAAUAUCUUUUAAAAACAAUUUUCUUUUAAGAUUCAAAAAUUUGUUUAGUAUGAGAUUUAAAAUUAUUUUUAAAUCUUAGAUAAGAUUGCUGAAAUUAAGUAUGGUUCCUUUGCAGGGGAGUUUGUUUUGAUUUUUUGUGGAAGAAUUCCAGUUUCCAGCGCUUCGUAUUCUUCAAUUACAGGUAAAUGAAUGUUGCAUGUGAAAUUUUUUUUCAACAAAUAAAGAAAACCCUUUCGUUGGGUUGGGCGAAGCCAUAUUGCUUCUAUUGGCAUAAAACUAUACAGCUGAAGAUUUUCUGUACUUAAUUAUCAAAGUAUGCGGUGGUUUGAUAAUUAAGUACAGAAAAUCUUCAGCUGAUAUCCUUCUUCUCUUUGCGUGAUAAAAUCAUGUUUUUUGGAUUAUGAUGCUUAUUCUGAUUCUUAUCUGUAAACCAUUGAUGAUAUAACAUUAUAGGCUUGGGGUAGUAGGUUUUGUAGUCUUUUUCCUGAAAUAUAACUGAGUACUUCAUAAUCGUUGCAUUCCUUGGUUUGUGAUUUUGUUGCUCGAGUACCGAGGUUUAUCUUUUGGUGCUCUCUGAUUGGUUCUCACAUUUGAGUCAUCUCACCAAAUCAUUAAUGUAGAUUUCCUCUUGAAAUUUUAGGUAGGUGGCGAUCUCUGCUUGGCUCUAUCAGUUGAUUCACAUAACCUAAUAAUUGAAGUCUUCUUUUCCUUGGGUCGGAAAAAUGGCAAUAAUUCUACUUGAGUUGAUAUUUCUUAAAGAAAAACUAAUGAAAAAAAAAUCAAAUCUUUACAUUUUAAUAAAAAAUCAUCUACUAACUUUAUUUAAUGAUAAAGACAAAAGAAUUAAAAAAAAACAUAAAAAACCCAACUUGCGCUGGGCGCAUCCCCCAACCCCCUUCCACACUCCACUUUUUUUGAUUGUUUGAUACAUUAAUAUAUUUUUUAUUUAUUUUAUUUUUGCUAAAAUAAGAAAAAGAGUUCAAACUGAAUUACAUUCCCCAGUUUUAUAUUUGUGGUGUUUUUUUCCCAAUAAUAGUCAAGAUGAUGAGAAAUUUUUCAAUGUGACCGGAGCACGGGGUGGUACACCACGUGUCUCUAUACAAGUUGUGAGAUUCUUGUGUUAAAAAAUUAAGUACACAAAAAAUAAAAAUUUUCACUACUUACAUAAUAACACGUGGUGUGCCACUUGUGUUAUGGGCACAAGGUAAAGUUUCUCCAAGAUGACACUCAAGCUCAAAAAAUUGGAUGGAGAGUUACAUUUAUUUUUGUAGGUAUGUAAAAAAAUGUGAGGAAAUUUUAAUUUAGUAAUUGAAAACAACUUUUUAAAUAUAAUUUUCGAGAACAUAAUCUUCUCAAGGAUUUGAUCUAAUGGAUCAUUUAUGGGUUUAUCGUUUUGGGCGCAAUGAGUGCUUUUACAGGACCAAAAAGAGUAAGUUUCAAACCUUAUGAAACUGAACCAAGAAGUAAACACUAUUUAUAAAAGUUGACCAAUAAGCAGACACUAUUUAUGAAACUAAAUCAAUAAGCAGACACUAUUUAUGAAAUUGAACCAAUAAGUAUACACUAUUUAUGAACGAAAACAAGAAUUAGACAUUAUUUCUAAAACUAAACCAAUAGAUGAAAAUUAUUUAUGAAACUGGACUAUACAAUAUUUACGAAACUGGACUAAGAAUUAGACAAUAUUUAUGAAACAAGAUCAACUAGGCAUUAUUUAUGAAAGUUGGCAAAUAACUAGGCACUAUUUAUGAAACUGGACCAAGAAAGAGACUAUUUAUGAAAUUAUACUAAUUACUAUACAUUAUUUAUAAAACUGGACCCAAUAACUAGGCUUUAUUUAUCAAACAUGAUCAGGAACUAGACACUAUUUAUGAAACAUAAUCAAGAUUUGGACACUAUUUAUGAAAUUGGACUAAUAAAUAUUGUAAUACCGUUCAGAUACUGCAAUUUAAUACAGUGUUUGGUUUCAUGCAUGCACGGGUCUUGUGUGUUAGGUAUUUUUUAUUUUUAAUUUAUAUAUAUAUAUAUAUAUAUAUUAAAAUUGUAUCAUUUUCAUUAAAAUUUAAGUUAUUUUGUCCUUUUGGAAAAUGUACCCAUGUUUUGGUACAAUAAAUUUUUUACUAUUAUUUAUGAAUGUAUAUACACAAUAUAUUGGAGAGUAUAAUUUAUCAUUUAAUAUUUUUAAUUCCACUAAUUAUGGGUUUUAUUUAAAAUCUCAUAAAUAUAAACAAUUAUAACUACAAAUUUCAAUUUUCAAUUUAAGCAUAUAAUAACUUACAUAUAAAUACAUUAUUUCAUUAAUGUCAGAGACCUAGAUCAAAAGCUGAAAACCAACAAGUUUAAUAUAAGAUCCAUUCUUAGUAUAACAUGUACCCAUUUCUUUUUAUAUAAGAUCCAUUCAAUUUUUUUCUAAUCUAUAUUUUAAACUUCUAUGGGUAUAUUCUAUUUUGUUGAUCUAAGAAUGUAUCCCUGUCAAGUUUAAUCAAAGAAAUUUAAUAAUGUUAUUAAGUCUUUUUUUUUUUUUUGUGGUUUUGGAAAAUGUACUCAUGUUUUGGUACAAUAAAUUUUUUUACUAUUAUUUAUGAAUGUAUAUACACAAUAUAUUGGAGAGUAUAAUUUAUUCUUUAAUAUUUUUAAUUCCACUAAUUAUGGGUUUUAUUUAAAAUCUCAUAAAUAUAAACAACUAUAACUACAAAUUUCAAUUUAAGAAUAUAAUAACUUACAUAUAAAUACAUUAUUUCAUUAAUGUCAGAGACUUAGAUCAAAAGCUGAAAACCAACAAGAUUUCAGUUAAAGAACAAUGAUAGUUAGGGACCGCAUCCAAACUCUCCCCUUAGAAAAUUAUUAUUCUAAGCAAUGCACAUCUAAAACUAUGAUAUCUCAUCUUAUCAAUCUUAGAUUUAAAUAGUGACUAGAGAUUACAAAGAGAGAUGAAAACAAGUUUAAUAACAAUUAACGAUUUUGUUAUUGCAUGAUUCAGUGAGUUUCUUACUAAAUAACAUCGUAGAGGAGAAAUGAUCACUUGUAGGAAAAUGAUUCAAUGAGUUUGUUACUAGAUAACAUUUGAUUCAUUUUUUAUUUGCUCAAUAAAACGAUUAAAAAGAAAUUAGAGUGUGUAUAAGUAACAAAUUAAUGAGAGUUUGUAAACUGUAAAAAGAAAUGAGAGUAUGUAAUGGGAUCGUUAGCAACAUAAUCAAGAAUAAUCAUAUGUUUAUCUCAUUGAAUCAGCAUUUUCUAUUUGUCAAAGAAUAAGACAAACAUAAUGAUGUCUAAAUUCUGAAGUUGGAAUACAACUAUGAUUCAUUGAGUUUCUAUUUGUCAGAAAAUGUAAGUUGAUGUCUAACUUCAGAGUUGUACGGCUGUAGAGUAUGCUAUUUAUUUCAUCUUAUACUCCAUAUUUGUGCUUAGAGAUAAAGCAAAAGGAUGUAUUAGAAACUUCAUCAAGCAGCCCUUUUGUUUUAAUGGUUUUCCGGUUGAUGUUUUGUUUAAUGGUUGCUCUUUUGCGACUAAAUUGGUGGUUUCAUAUAUUAAGUUCAAUUGUUAAAAAGUAGAAUUUUUCUUCGGUUUGGACGGUAUUUUUUCAUAUAUUUAAUUACUUACAUAACUUGAUCGUCUUUGUUUCAACUCUGUUUGCGUUAUGAAUAGCAGCUCUUUCCAAUUUAACAUGGAUUUAUUUUUACAGUGUAAUUAUCUACAGAAAAUUUCUCUAAAGAUGCUGACAAUGGAGGGACACUGAUUCUGAACACAGUGGGCAAGUCUUUACAAGCUAAUUCCGUAGGUAAUAGAAACUACGCCUUUUCUCUCUGCUUGCAUGCUUUUUAACAUAGAGAGAAAUUGAAAUUGUACUUUAGAAUUAGCGUUCUUUUUGAUGAUCUACUGCCUGGUAAGGGUUCUUGAAAUUGUAUUUUAGAAUUAGUAUUUUUCUUGAUUCAAAACAAAAGGUCUAUAAUUUCCUUCCUACAUUCCAUGUAUGUACAUAGUAUUGCGUGUCGUAAAUAUAUUUACAAAUUUUACAUGUUUUAUACGGUUUUGAAACCCUCAACAUAAGGGACCUAUGUUUCAUUUGUAUUUAUUUUUAGAACACUUCCAGCCCAGCCAAGUCCCCUGAGCGAUGAGCUUUGGAAUCCCCCUACCAAGAAAAAAAAAAAAACGGCAGCUCCAGCCCAUUCCAAUAACCUGGGCUCCCCUGGAUCCCCCACUUUUCCCCCAGGUCCGAAUUGACUGGCCCACUUUGAUGUUAGCCCUGAUUAGAAAAAUACAAAAAAUACAAAAAGUUAUAAAUUUUUUCUAUAAAUAGCUAGCCAUAUUUUUCCACUUUACAUCACAUUUCAAUAUUUUCAAAUACUUUUUAACCAAUCUUUUAUUGUCAUUUGAAAUUAAAAAUAAAAUUAUUUAUUAUUUUAUUAAAAAAAUAUUUGGUGGAGAUGCAUUUGGACAAUUACUGUUCACUAAAGGCCGUUACUAACUUACUAUUCACUUUGACCGAUUGGGCUGCCGACGAGAAAUGACUCCAAACGCAUCUACUUUUGUGUUGAAUUAGUUUAUUUGUUUAAACUACAUAAAGUCAAUUCAAUAACUCUUGGUUUGAAUUAGUUUAUUUGUAGCGAAAACUAACCAUGGUUUUCGUUACAUUGAUAUUGCUAGCUAAUUUGUGAUUAUCUUCUCCCAGCAAAACUCAAUUCCAUUUGCAAAGAAGAGAUCGAUCAUGGCGUUGGAGGUGGUAGGUGGAGCCGCUCUCUCAGGUUUCUUCCAGCAAGUAUUGUGAAGUUGGAUUCUCAGGAGGUCAAGAACUUCAUUAGAGGAAAGAAAUUGACUGAUGGGUUGCUGGAGAAGUUGAGCAUCGAGUUGAUGUCUGUCGAUGCUGUUUAUUAUGAUGCCGAGCAAAAGCAAUUACGUGACCCAAGGGUGAAGCAGUGGCUGCAUAAGCUUAAAGAGGCAGUCUUACGUGCUGAGGACCUACUGGACGAGAUCAAGACAGAAGCGUUAAGGCGGAAAAUUGAAGCAGAAUUUGGAAGUUGCACAAGCAAGGUACAAGACCUCAUAUCUGCUUCUUUCCAUGCUUUUGAUGAGUCUGUAGACACCAAGAUAGAGGAAAUUCUUGAGAGGCUAAGCUCCAUUUCAAAACAAAAGGAUGUUUUCGGUUUGAAAGAACGUUGUAGUCACAGAAGCUCACAAACAUUGCCUUCAACUUCUUUAGUAGAAGGCUCUGAAGUGUAUGGAAGAAAUCAUGACACGGAAAUCAUCAUUCAAUUGUUGCUAUCAGAUGAUGUUACUUGUAAUACGAUUGGCGUCAUUCCCAUCGUGGGCAUGGGUGGGAUCGGAAAGACCACCCUUGCUCAGCUCUUAUACAAUGAUGAGAGAGUGAAGCAGCGUUUUGAGCCCCGAGCAUGGGUAUGUGUUUCUGAUGAAUUUGACAUUGUUAAGAUCACACAAACAAUUUAUGCAUCAGUCACUUCACAAACCUGUGAUUCCACAGACCUAAACCAACUUCAAGUCAAACUCAAGGAUGCUUUGGCGGGGAAGAAGUUUCUUUUUUGUUUCUUGAUGAUGUUUGGAACGAGAAUUACAAUAUUUGGGAUUCCUUAAGGCGCCCCUUCGAGUCUGGAGCUUAUGGAAGUAAGAUCAUUGUCACCGCAAGGAAUGAUGGCGUUGCAUCUACGAUGGGUACUCUUCAAACCCACUAUUUAAAGCACUUACUUGAGGAAGACUGUUGGUUUCUGUUUUCCAAGCAUGCCUUCAAAGAUGCAAGUGUAGAUCCAAAUCUUGAGGAAAUUGGAAGACAAAUUGUUAGCAAGUGUAAAGGCCUUCCUUUAGCUGCAAAAUCUCUCGGUGGUCUCUUACGCUCUGAAUCAAAUGUGGAGGAAUGGGAAAAUGUGCUAAAAAGUGACAUAUGGGAGUUCUCAGAUGCAAAGAUUGACAUUUUGCCGGCUCUAUGGCUAAGCUACCAGUACUUGUCUCCGGAGCUGAGGCGUUGUUUUGCUUAUUGUUCCAUAUUUCCCAAAGAUUAUAAAUUUAACAAGUCUAAAUUAAUUUUGCUGUGGAUGGCCGAAGAUCUUUUACAACCCCAAAAGAAGACUAUGUUGGAAGAUGUUGGAAAGAAAUACUUUGAUGAUCUAAUCUCACGGUCAUUUUUUCAAUACUCGUCUUCAAAUGAUUGUUUCAUCAUGCAUGAUCUGAUGCAUGAUUUGGCGACAUACGUGUGUGGGGAAUUUUGCAUUAGAUUGGAAGACCACGACUUCUCAUUGGACGUUGUGAGCAAGGGUCGUCAUUUUUCUUAUUUGCAAUAUUCAUCUAAUGUUGAUUAUAAGAGAUUUGGCACUAUUUAUGAAGCUAAGUAUCUGCGCACCUUCAUUCUUGGCGUUCUCUAUUCGCCGACAGUACAACUUGAUCUCAUUUUAAUGCUACAGUGUUUAAGAGUUCUCAAACUACGUGUGCAUGAUAUCACGAAGUUGCCUGAUUUGAUUAGCAACUUGAAGCAUCUACGGUACCUCGACUUGUGUAACACUCCAAUCCAGAAAUUACCGGACACGGUAUGCAGUUUGUGUAAUUUACAAACGUUGUUGUUGUCAAAUUGUACAUGUCUAGCUGAGUUGCCCACCGAUUUGAGAAGACUUAUCAACUUGCGCCAUCUUGAUUU
rnacentral:lncRNA from 1 species